ensembl:lncRNA
CUUCUGUCUGCCUUUGUCUCCUUCUGUCUCCCUUGGUCUCCCAUUGUCUUCUUCUGUCUGCCUUUGUCUCCUUCUGUCUCCCUUGGUCUCCCAUUGUCUUCUUCUGUCUCCCUUUGUCUCCCUUUGUCUCCUUCUGUCUCCCUUGGUCUCCCUUUGUCUUCCUUGGUCUCCCUUGGUCUCCCUUGGUCUCCCUUGGUCUCUGUCUCUUGAAGCCUCUUCUGGUCUCUGAUCCGGCUUCACAUCGUCUGAAUCACGAGUCCUCAGAGUCCAGGAGCUUGAUUGUAUUUUUUCAGAUACGAGAAUCUGUGUAAUAAGUUUGCUUCUGAGAUGAAAUGAAGAAAAUACAUCUUCAGGACUCUGUAGGUUUAGAAAAAAGAAAAGAGCAAGUUGCCCAUUUGAUCAGUUUCUAUUUUUAUCCCAAUAGUAUAAAGUUUAUUAUUCACAUAGAUGAAGUCUGAGAAAAUGACUCAAUUUAUUCCCUCAGCGACAAAAACGUCAUCGACGUCGUCCUCUUAAGCAAAGUUUGUGGGGAUUUACUGAGAAAAAGCUCAUACAAAUUAGACGUGAAACAGACACUUAGCCGUUAGCUGCCCCGUUAGCAUCAGAUGGAUCAGAUGGUCUUUUCCUCUGAAUCUGCUUCUCUAAAAUGAGAACAUUGUUAUUUAUGGUUAUUAUUGACCUCCAUGCGGCCAGCGACUUGUUAUUAGUUCGUCUCCCUCGCGGCGUCACACACUAUUAAGGCGGGAGGUCGAGCCUUAUUGAAGCCGGAGAUCAGGAUUCAGCGCAGACGACGCCGCCUGUUUGUUGACGAGAUGAGUUUUAACCUUGUGACUGAUGGCGGGGGACGAGGACGGGGACGGGGACGAGGACGAGGACGGGGACGGGGGCUGGUUGGCGUGACGACGGAAGAGAGGAAAUAACUCAACAAGAAAAUAUCAUAUUGCAUUUUGCUCAGAUGGUUUUAACACGCAGACUGUUCUUCAUCCGUAGGAUAAACUGCUGUGUGUGUUAAUGAAACCACCGAUACAUGUAUCAUUAUCUAUAUACAUAUAUAUAUAUAUACAUACAUCUACAUCUACAUAUAUAUAUACAUACAUACAUCUACAUAUAUAUAUACAUACAUCUACAUCUACAUAUAUAUAUACAUACAUACAUCUACAUAUAUAUAUACAUACAUCUACCUAUAUAUAUACACAUACAUCUACAUCUAUAUAUAUAUGUAUAUACACAUAUACAUACAUUUACAU